CAGUAGCAGAAUAACUGAGACAGAAAAAUGGAUCAGUGAGCUGGAAGAUAGACUGGUGGAAAUAACUGCCUAUCAGUGAAAUAAAGAGUGAGAAGAAUUGAGAACAGUCUCAGACACCUCUGGGGCAAUAUUAGAUGCACCAACAUUUGAAGUAUAGGGUACCCAGAAGAGAAAGAGAAAGGAUCUAAGAAAUAUUUGAAGAGAUAUAUUCAAAAACUUCCCUAACAUGGGAAAGGAAAUAGCCACCCAAGUACAGGAGGUGCAGAGAGUUCUAUACAAGAUAAACCCUAGGAGAAACACCCCAAGAUACAUAUUAAACAAACUAAUAAAUACUAAAUACAAAAGUAUUAAAAGCAGCAAGGGAAAAGCAAAAAAUAACAUACAAAGUAAUCCCUGUAAGGCUAUCAUCUAAAUUUUCAGCAGAAAUUCUGCAGGUCAGAGGAUAUACAUUUAAAGUGAUGAAAGGGAAAAACGUACAACCAAAAUUACUCUACCCACCAAGGAUCUCAUUCAGCUAUGAAGGAGAAUU